rnacentral:snoRNA from 1 species
GCUUUGCAGUAAUAAUUUCAUAAAUAAAUUCAUAUGUCAGACUUCAGAUAUUUUCAAAUAGUUGAGAAUAAAAAUUCUAUUACUUAGCAGAAU